rnacentral:lncRNA from 1 species
ACAACAACAACAAACCCAGUGUAUUCCCACCUAGUGGGGUCUGGGGGCUAAGAUGUACGCAGUCCAUACCUCUACCUCUAAAGAAGUAGAAAGGCUGUUUCCGAUAGACCCCCGGCUCAAGUCACAAGAUACCACACAAACUCAUAGUAAAGCACAAAACUAGAUUAAAUAACAUAAAUACGGCACCCAUAAGUAUUAGAAAACAGAGGAAAGCACACAGAUUCGUAAUAAAACAUGGAACACGGAAUCAUAACAAGGAUAAAACCCCCACCAAGUAAUUCCCCACACUAGCAACCCAAACCGGCCCUAGUAUUCUG